ACAAGAAGAAGAAAGGAGCAAAUACCAAGAAAAAGACCAUCAACAUCCGAGGAAGUGUAGAGGUGUGAAAAUUAUUUGAAUAAGUUAAUUUACUAUUAAAAAAAAAAACUAUUAUUUUGUUAACUUUCAAAUUUUAUAUUUUGCAGCAAUCCGAGUUUGGUGCAUCUUCAAAUAUAGGACUUGUUGAUCUUGGUACACAAGAGAGUAUUUAAGUGAAUGAAUCUGAAAUAUUGGGUCCAAGUUUAGAGCAACAAAACAUAUUUCAAGAAAACUUGUCAUACCAAGGGUAUCAUCAUCCAUCUCCAUCUUUGAUAUUCGAACAUUCAAGUUUCACAAAAAUGUUGAAUGACAUAGUACAAUCACAGGCUAACAAUCCAGAAGAGGACACAAAUGGUAGAAGUUGAAAAUGUCUACAUGACAGGGUUGCUUAGACAUUUGUUUCCCUUUUUUUUAAAGUUUGUUGAGAAUGUUUAUAUUACAUUUUGAGAGACUUGUUUGUUAAAACACAAUGAUUUUUGUAUUGGAUUAUAUAGUUGAACUAUUACAUUGAAGCAUUAUCAAUUAUUAGAGUUUAUUGUGGAACAUUGAAGUUUUUUUUAUCAUGAAAUGUGAUUUUUUUUUUUUUUUUUCACAUUAUGAGUAAAUUACCAUUAAGAAUUUUUUUCUUCAUUAUGAAUAAAUUUUAUUUGUUCUUUAAUUUGUGAUCUCAACCAAGCUCAUUAACAGGUUAUGUUUGUCAUUAAAAAUUAAGAAAAAGUCAAUGAGGAGUUGCUAGUAACAAUAUCAAUAAGAGCAUGACAAAAAUAAAUGUUGCGUUUGGUAGAGUUUUGCAAAUGUGAUUUGAGGGUAUGAGUUGUAUUUUGAAUUUGUGAGUUGUGGA